rnacentral:rRNA from 1 species
AUUGAACGCUGGCGGCAGGCCUAACACAUGCAAGUCGAGCGGAUGAAGGGAGCUUGCUCCUGGAUUCAGCGGCGGACGGGUGAGUAAUGCCUAGGAAUCUGCCUGGUAGUGGGGGAUAACGUCCGGAAACGGGCGCUAAUACCGCAUACGUCCUGAGGGAGCAAGUGGGGGAUCUUCGGACCUCACGCUAUCAGAUGAGCCUAGGUCGGAUUAGCUAGUUGGUGGGGUAAAGGCCUACCAAGGCGACGAUCCGUAACUGGUCUGAGAGGAUGAUCAGUCACACUGGAACUGAGACACGGUCCAGACUCCUACGGGAGGCAGCAGUGGGGAAUAUUGGGCAAUGGGCGAAAGCCUGAUCCAGCCAUGCCGCGUGUGUGAAGAAGGUCUUCGGAUUGUAAAGCACUUUAAGUUGGGAGGAAGGGCAGUAAGUUAAUACCUUGCUGUUUUGACGUUACCAACAGAAUAAGCACCGGCUAACUUCGUG